UCCCUUCUUCCCCGACUCCUCUCCCUCGCGAUCCGAUUUCAUCGCCGGUCGCCGGCUAGCAACGCCGAUCGUCGGCCGUCGCGAGUUCACCACCGAUGGAGGGCUUCUCCUCCACCGUUCCUCACCUCCACCACUCGAUCUUCUCCUCCACGAAUCUGCCGAUCCUUUCUCCCUCGUCGCCGUACCCUAGAUUUGUCGACGCUGAGCUCUCCCGACCAUGACACGCCACAUGAUGCCACCAGAUCACCGCGAGCACCGGCGAUGUUGCUCCUUCGUCUCCGGCUAGCCGUCGCUGUCAUGUCUCCGUGCUCGAUCCAUGGCCUAACUGCCUCUCUGGGAUUCUGAUCGCGUCGGACAUCGUCGCGCCUCCUCGUUGACCAUGGGUAUUGCGCUCUUUUUCUGGCUGCAAGCACCCAGUGCUCGCCGGAGGCCAAGCGUGCGGGCCUGCGACAAGGGUAUGUGUCUUGAGCCUUUCCCCGAUUUCAGCUUAUGCUGAUUUCCUCCCGUACCUUGUCUCCUUCUCAGAACAGUAUUGAUCCGGCACUGUGACCGACAGAUCCUUUUGCAGUAGAUCGUCAUCCCUGAGAUGGAUAGGUUGUUGGAUGGAUUCAUUACGGAGAAGGUGACAGAUUUGCUGCCUAGCUGCCAAAGAUGGGUUCUCCGCAUGAAUCAAAAUCUAUUGGCACAGAUAUGGGGUGCUAGAUUUGGAGACUAUGGGAUAUUUUAGCUCCGACUAUAUUUUUCUAGCAGUGGGUGCUUUGUCGGCGAGUUAACAGCAAGUACACGGAUAAAGGACUUUGAUAUGGGAUGAUCAUCAUGACGUGGGAUUUAUUCUGGACACGAUCUACGUAU